UGGGGAAUAUUGGGCAAUGGGCGAAAGCCUGACCCAGCGACGCCGCGUGAGGGAAGAAGGUCUUCGGAUUGUAAACCUUUGUCAACAGGGACGAAACAAAUGACGGUACCUGUGAAGGAAGCCACGGCUAACUACGUGCCAGCAGCCGCGGUAAUACGUAGGUGGCGAGCGUUAUCCGGAUUUACUGGGUGUAAAGGGUGAGUAGGCGGGAAUAUAAGUCAGAUGUGAAAUCCAAAGGCUUAACCUUUGAAUUGCAUUUGAAACUAUAUUUCUUGAGAGUCGGAGAGGUAAUCGGAAUUCCUAGUGUAGCGGUGAAAUGCGUAGAUAUUAGGAGGAACACCAGUGGCGAAGGCGGAUUACUGGACGACAACUGACGCUGAGACACGAAAGCGUGGGGAGCAAACAGG
rnacentral:rRNA from 1 species